UAGAUAAAAAUAGAAAACAUUGUGAACUAAAAGUCGGAGAUUCUGUAUAUGUAGAAAACGGAAAUAGGCUAAAUCGAAAAAAACUGCAUGAAUUGAAAAUAGGACCAUAUCAAAUUAUAGACAAAAUUUCAAAUUCAAUUUACAAAGUAAAUACGGGUCACAAAAAGUUAGAGUCGAAUUAUUUUCAUAUUACAAAGCUUAUUCCAGUAGUAGAAUAAAACAAGCAAACCUUUUAAAUUUCAUUUAUUCGAUUCGGGGGGGGAGAUGUAAAUGAAGUUCUCAUGUGAGACUUCCUUUAAAAUUGGCUGUCAAUUGUCAUUACUUACUCUGUGGGUGUUUGUACACUAUGGUUUGACAUUACUCUAUAAUUAAAAAGAUCACUUGCUGCGUCACGUGCGACUAAGAAAUAAGGAGGUUAUACCAAUUGAAUUAAAAUUGUAAAACAAUAGCUUUAAAUGUUGUUUCUCUCUUUCAGAGCAACACGCUUCUAUUGUUUUUCUUUUCAUCAUCAGGUAGUCAUUACCACCUAAAUUAAAUAAGAACAUUAUA